AUUCAUUUGACUCAGGUUCUCGCCUGCCAAGAAUCUUCCACGUGGUGAUGCUCCUCACUCAUUCAGAGAUAAGAUGAUGUCAUCUUCCAGGUCAGAGUUGUCAGAGCUGUCGGCUGCAAGGAAGAAAACUGAAGUGGAUAAAGUCAAGUCAGGAAGAGCAUGGCUGUGAUUCAAGAAAGUCCUGAGAAGAAGCCAAAGAGGUGGCUGGGAAAACCAGUGUUCCUGGUCGAAAAGGCACCACGUGGCCUGUUGGAAACGGGUGGGAAGAUCACAGAACUAGCAGCUCAUCACUCGGCCUCCUUGCUGCCAGCACUCGGGAGGAAGUGCAGUGGGGAAGGGCAGGCCUGCUCCCCAGAGCCAAGCUCGUAUCCCAAGUGCCCCUGAUAUGAGCCACCGUUGCCAGACCAGCUCCCUGAACCUGUCCUCCCAGCCCGAACACCUGCGCCUGGCCCAGGACUAAAGCUACUGGAGGAGGAUCACGGCCCAGCCCUGAAGCACAAGGUUGGCCAGCUCCUCGUCAGAGGGAGAGAAGUCAUUGUCCCCAUCCUCCCCUGCGUUCUCGUUGUUGUCAUCCUCCUCCAACUCCGCCUCCAGCAAUUGGUCAGUGUCAAGGUCAUCGAGAUCAUCAGUGUCAUCAUCAUCUUCAUCGUCAUCUUCCUCCUCCUGCUCCUCCUCCUCCUGGGCACACCUUUUUCCUGGGGUCUCCUGCUGCCUUACUGGAUAUCUGCAUGGCACCCACACCUCCUUCAAGACACCGCUUAAGCACAACAGCUAUCCAAGAGUAAACACAAGUACUCCACACACUAACAAGCACUCUCUACCGUUUACCCUGCUUCCUGUUCUUCAGCAACACCUACCUGAUACACCACUUAUUUGCUUCUUUAUUUACUGUCUCCCUAGUGAGUCCCAUAAAGGCUGGGACUUUAUUUCAUCUAAAACUUAGUAUUUUAACCAGUUAACUACCAUGCAUCCAAAACGGAAACCAUUCCCACACACCACGAUAUUUUGAAUUUAAUUUAAAAAAUCAAUUUGCAAUGAAUAUUAUAAAUAUAUUACUCACAAUUCGGGUGUUCUUGAAUAUUUUUAGCUGAAAAUUCUCACAAAAAGUGACUUUAAAGUUGGUCAGAACUGCCACUUAGGGAAAACAUUUUUUUACAGACACAGUGGCAUGUGGAGAAGGUCUGCAGCUUGCGUCUACUGGCGCUUAUGGCGUACAAUGGGUUAAAGUAUCUGCUGUACUAAUGACAUCUUCUCAACUUGCCAGAUGAAGUCCCUGUUCAUUCUCUUUACAUUUCGCCUGGACAGCUCAGAACUACCUACUUCCUUACACUUGCAGACCCGAACCAGAAAGACUCGCGGAGUAACUGCUAGUUGCCUCAGGACCUAAGGCCUCACACUCAAUCCAGAAGACUCAGUGCAAACAAAGGCCUAACAGUGUGAAAGCAGAGGGCUCAGGACUUACGUGGGCGAUAUCUCCUUUCGUGCCGAUGACGCGGUCCUGGGAGUGCUUACUGAACUCCACGUAGUGAUCUUCUGUGAAGGAAUGCCUGCGGACAGACAGAAGCACUCAGGCGGCCGCCUCAGGACAUAAUCACUCAACUGACUGAAAAGAAAGGCAGCCAGCCAGCCAAUGGGGCCAAAGCUCACCAACCCAUCUUAGAAGAAUGACUGCAAACAACCUACGAUUGGACCCUUACCCUGGAAGGUUCAAGGUGUGUGAUGGCCGAGUUGUGACAGUUAUAGCUGGCCUCCUCCUGUCCACUAAACACAUUGUAGAGCUUCAACUGCCCAGUGCAGGUGCCAAGCAUCAGGAACCGCUCCCGGGCUGAGAAUGCACAGCAGGUAAAGCCACUCUCAUCCUCAUUGGCUUCCCGGAACACUGAGAUAGGACGGAACCUACGCCAAGGAAAGAGAACCAGAGACAAAGAAGGUGCAAGGACUCAGAAAAAGAAAAAAACACAGAGCUUUUAUGUUUCAAAUACAUCACAACACAUCACAUGA